rnacentral:lncRNA from 1 species
GGAAACAAAGGUUGCUUUAUUUAAAGUAGAUGCAUGAUAACAUGCAUGGUUUUCUUUUUUUGAAGGAGGAUAAUAACAUGCAUGGUUGGUUUUUAGUUUUUGAGACAUAUCAUUCUUAAGUGACAAUUUCCAAAGCCGUCUUCUGAAGGAGGAUAACUGCGUUUCAAGUAGUCUUUUUCAAUAGUGUCCGAAAAUAUUUUCAGAGUGACUGGCAUAUACUUCCACCAUAAAUCCA